rnacentral:rRNA from 1 species
AGUGAACGCUGGCGGUAGGCCUAACACAUGCAAGUCGAACGGCAGCACAGUAAGAGCUUGCUCUUACGGGUGGCGAGUGGCGGACGGGUGAGGAAUACAUCGGAAUCUACUUUUUCGUGGGGGAUAACGUAGGGAAACUUACGCUAAUACCGCAUACGACCUACGGGUGAAAGCAGGGGAUCUUCGGACCUUGCGCGAUUGAAUGAGCCGAUGUCGGAUUAGCUAGUUGGCGGGGUAAAGGCCCACCAAGGCGACGAUCCGUAGCUGGCCUGAGAGGAUGCUCAGCCACACUGGAACUGAGACACGGUCCAGACUCCUACGGGAGGCAGCAGUGGGGAAUAUUGGACAAUGGGCGCGAGCCUGAUCCAGCCAUGCCGCGUGGGUGAAGAAGGCCUUCGGGUUGUAAUGCCCUUUUGUUGGGAAAGAAAAGCAGCAGGUUAAUACCCCGCUAUUCUGACGGUACCCAAAGAAUAAGCACCGGCUAACUUCGUG